GAUGAACGCUGGCGGCGUGCCUAAUACAUGCAAGUCGAGCGAACAGACGAGGAGCUUGCUCCUCUGACGUUAGCGGCGGACGGGUGAGUAACACGUGGAUAACCUACCUAUAAGACUGGGAUAACUUCGGGAAACCGGAGCUAAUACCGGAUAAUAUAUUGAACCGCAUGGUUCAAUAGUGAAAGACGGUUUUGCUGUCACUUAUAGAUGGAUCCGCGCCGCAUUAGCUAGUUGGUAAGGUAACGGCUUACCAAGGCAACGAUGCGUAGCCGACCUGAGAGGGUGAUCGGCCACACUGGAACUGAGACACGGUCCAGACUCCUACGGGAGGCAGCAGUAGGGAAUCUUCCGCAGUGGGCGAAAGCCUGACGGAGCAACGCCGCGUGAGUGAUGAAGGUCUUCGGAUCGUAAAACUCUGUUAUUAGGGAAGAACAAAUGUGUAAGUAACUAUGCACGUCUUGACGAUACCUAAUCAGAAAGCCACGGCUAACUACGUG
rnacentral:rRNA from 1 species